rnacentral:tRNA from 1 species
AAUAAAAUGGCUGAAGUUUAGGCGAUAAAUUGUAAAUUUAUUUAUAGAAUAAUAAUAUUCUUUUUAUUA